rnacentral:lncRNA from 1 species
AUUUUGUUAGUUUUGUUGAUUGUAAUGCUGAUAUUGCCAUAUGUUGUGUACAGAUGAUGAUAUAAUUAUGGAAGUUGUGUCACCAUCAGUUGAAAGUAAUAAUUCAGAGGAAUCUGAAGUAUCAGAUAGCAAAUUUAUGGAUUCUCCCAGUCUGGCAAAAGCACUUAGUGCACUGGAAACAACACGUUACAUAAGAUCAAAAAACAUUAAUGAUGGCAAGAUGUGUACAGUAGUUGUAUAUGAAAGCUUGACCUAUGAAUGUAAUAUUGCAUUCAAAAAACAAACUACAAUUGAUUCUUUCUUUAUGCCAAAAUAGCUCUAUUUGCCCAGAUC